rnacentral:rRNA from 1 species
CCUACGGGGGGCAGCAGUGAGGAAUAUUGGUCAAUGGACGAGAGUCUGAACCAGCCAAGUAGCGUGAAGGAUGACUGCCCUAUGGGUUGUAAACUUCUUUUAUAAAGGAAUAAAACGAGGCACGUGUGCCUUUUUGCAUGUACUUUAUGAAUAAGGAUCGGCUAACUCCGUGCCAGCAGCCGCGGUAAUACGGAGGAUCCGAGCGUUAUCCGGAUUUAUGGGGUUUAAAGGGAGCGUAGAGUGGUUGUUAAGUCAGUUGUGAAAGUUUGGGGCUCAACCGUAAAAUUGCAAUUGAUACUGGCAGUCUUGAGUACAGUUGAGGUAGGCGGAAUUCGUGGUGUAGCAGUGAAAUGCUUAGAUAUCACGAAGAACCCUGAUUGCGAAGGCAGCUUACUAAACUGUGACUGACAUUGAUGCUCGAAAGUGUGGGUAUCAAACAGGAUUAGAUACCCCUGUAGUC